rnacentral:rRNA from 1 species
UCAGACGAUGCGUCAUGCAUAUCAAUAAGCGGAGGAAAAGAAACUAACAAGGAUUCCCCUAGUAACGGCGAGUGAAGCGGGAAGAGCUCAAAUUUGAAAUCUUAAAGGGUUUCCCUUUACGAAUUGUAGUUUGAAGAAGUGUUUUCUGUUGAGGUUUUGGUAAAAGUUCUUUGGAAUAGGACAUCAUAGAGGGUGAGAAUCCCGUAUUUGACCUUUACUUUCAACUUUGUGAUACACUUUCAAAGAGUCGGAUUGUUUGGGAAUGCAGUCCAAAAUGGGUGGUAAAUUUCAUCUAAAGCUAAAUAUUGGCGAGAGACCGAUAGCGAACAAGUACCGUGAGGGAAAGAUGAAAAGAACUUUGAAAAGAGAGUUAAACAGUACGUGAAAUUGUCAAAAGGGAAGCGUUUGACACCAGUGUUGUUUUUCUGAAAAUCAAUUAAAGAACUGUUUAUGCUAAGCUGUUUAGACUUUAUCAGCUAUCUGUUUAGUUUUGAGCUUUUCUUUAAUGCACUUUUCAGUUAACAAGUCAACAUCAAUUUCUUUUGCUGUAAAAAAGCUUGAGGAAGGUGGCUUGAGAUUCGUCUUAAGUGUUUAUAGCCUCUUGCCUAUGCAGUCGGAGAGAUUGAGGUCUGCAGCGUAGAUCCUUCGGGGCUAAAUGCAUUUGUGCUAAGUUAUAGCAUUUUAUAGACAACUUGUUGACUAUGAUUUGUCUUGUAGCUUACUCGCUUAUGUUAUUUUACCUACGCUUAGGAUGUUGACACACGCGCGUGCUCG